rnacentral:hammerhead_ribozyme from 1 species
GAACUGCAGAGGAGUCCCACAAUAGGACAAAACGGCCGUCCAGUGC